GGUGUUCCUGGUUUGGGAAGUAUAAAUCCCGUGGGAAGUCAACUGAAGAACAUUUUACACAUCACUCAUUCUAUUAUGAUCCUGCUGCUCUUCCAUCUCUCGACAAGG
ensembl:misc_RNA predicted gene, 27366